UACAGAGGGUGCAAGCGUUAAUCGGAAUUACUGGGCGUAAAGCGCGCGUAGGUGGUUCGUUAAGUUGGAUGUGAAAUCCCCGGGCUCAACCUGGGAACUGCAUUCAAAACUGUCGAGCUAGAGUAUGGUAGAGGGUGGUGGAAUUUCCUGUGUAGCGGUGAAAUGCGUAGAUAUAGGAAGGAACACCGAUUGCGAAGGCAGCUCACUAAGCUGUAACUGACACUGAGGCACGAAAGCGUGGGGAGCAAACAGG
rnacentral:rRNA from 1 species